AACGAACGCUGGCGGCAUGCCUAACACAUGCAAGUCGAACGAAGUCUUCGGACUUAGUGGCGCACGGGUGCGUAACGCGUGGGAAUCUGCCCUUGGGUGCGGAAUAACUUCUCGAAAGGGAUGCUAAUACCGCAUAAUGUCGUAAGACCAAAGAUUUAUCGCCCAAGGAUGAGCCCGCGUAAGAUUAGCUAGUUGGUGGGUAAAAGCCUACCAAGGCGACGAUCUUUAGCUGGUCUGAGAGGAUGAUCAGCCACACUGGGACUGAGACACGGCCCAGACUCCUACGGGAGGCAACAGUGGGGGAAUAUUGGACAAUGGGCGAAAGCCUGAUCCAGCAAUGCCGCGUGAGUGAUGAAGGCCCUAGGGUGUAAAGCUCUUUACCAGGGUAUGAUAAUGACAGUACCU
rnacentral:rRNA from 1 species